UCACUGCCACUCCAUAGCGAGACUGCUGUUUUUUGGGCCCCUCUUUCCGAGGCUGCCCACUCACCCCCCCUCCGGUGUCUUGCAGGUCAUUUAUAAAACGAAUCUGUACGCCAUAGUCCACGGGGGUCUUCCUACCUGAGACAGGAGCAGACAUCCUAGAGGCCCUGACAGAAGCAAUAAGAUGUCCCUCAGAUUAUACUCCACUGCACAACCUGAUGUGAAGCCACUUUCCCCUCUACAGGCACUCCUCUGCUCAUUCUUAAAAAAGCACUUCACUUCAACAAGGAUACCAUGACUUGAUUGGAUUGUGAAAAGUGGGCAUUACACUCCAGAAUGAAGCCAUGUGGUUGGAGGUGAAAGGCUGAACAGGAACAGCUAUUUCAGAGGCGGUGCAAGUUACAUAUUGAUAAAGGAUUAUGAAGACAAACAUUCUUUGCACUUAUGAAUCCUUCACAAUAAGACCAGGAAUAUGCAUUAAUAAUAAGUAAACGGGGUCAUUUCAAAUUGCCCUUGUAGAUAAUGAUGGUCUGUCUUGAAAUGUUUCUAGCCUAUGUUACUCUCUAAAGGAGAACUUGAAUGGGAUUUUUUACUACCAGAGCCCUACUGUUGUGCUCUAUUGAGAUACAGACAGACACAGACAUGCAGACAGUCCAAUGAGGUAGGAUUGAAUUACACACUACUUAAUGCUGCCCGUUACCUCCGAUUCCUGGCACAGAGGACCCAAUGGCCUUCAUUAUUCAUUAACCUGAGCAGAAACGUUUGUUUUUCAUGAUGUAGACGUACAAUUGACUUUCUAUCCUAAACCACACACAUUUUUUAGAUUUUUAUAUAGACCUAGCAUGUUACUACUUCUGAUCAAAACUCAGGAAAGCGUCAGCAUUACUCAUGAUGUAAUGGAGCAGAAAACUGAAGGUGUGGCUGGUGUGAUGGAAUGAAAAUAUCUCAGUAAGGAACAUUAUAGCAUGAAGGGUGUGACGGAGAACAAAGUGCAUUCCCAGACAGUGGUACACCUUUACCGAUUCCCUUUGUCUUUUUGAGAGAGAGAGUGAUAAUAUAGACUAUCUGCAUAUCUGUGUCUGUCUGUAUCACAACAGUAGGGCUCUGGUAGUAAAAAAAUCCCAUUCAAGUUCUCUAUAUAUUAUUUUGUAUUAUAUUAGAAUCAGGGAUGUCCACUCCUAUGACUGAAUCAUGGAAAAAGCACUAUUGAGCAAAUAAAAAAACCCCUAUGAUUUUCCUUUAAUUAAAUGACCAAAGGUUCAGUUAAAACAAACUAACAGUCAGCCUAAGAUGAGUAAGAGAGUGUUAAGAAAUACAUUUACUGUGUGACAUUAAGGAGCCUUCAUGACUACUGUGAAUACAACGAACGGACUCAUUAUGUGUUGUGUCAUCAGAAAACUUUUAAGAUGGCUGACGUGUCCAUGUCAAUGACUGAGAGCAGACUGAAGAGAGCCAAGCUCACAUACGGGAGGCUCCUGUGCUGACAGAUAUACAAGCAGAAGGUUAUACAGGUGUAGCGAGAAAGUGGCAGCAGCACUUCACUGAUCGUUUUUCACUCUACAGACUCAUUCAUCAACUAUGUUUAUUGUAGUUGCGGAAGGAUUUAUGUACGUUUAAUUAAAUUCCAGCCCUCACACUUACAGGUGGAGUUUCAAUAUCAGACAACAGACUUUGAACACCAUAAAAGAACUAUAAAGGAAGGAAAGGCUUCUUUAGAGAUAGCAGGGGGGACACAGUUAUGUUGAAUAUGAUGAAAAUGUAUCCUGAGGGCCCACACAAAUGCUGCAAAAAUUUGUGUGGAAGCCAAAUGUAAUAUGGCAAUAAAUCUUUUUCAUUUUUCACAAUAUUAUAAAGAUAUUGUGUUUUGAGCCAAACAGUAAUGCUGGCACUUUUAUUAAAGUGCCUUUAAGGUAAGCAAGCUAGUGUACUUUUAUUCAAUGAGAGCUCGAAAAAAAUCCAGUA